rnacentral:rRNA from 1 species
GACGAACGCUGGCGGCGUGCUUAACACAUGCAAGUCGAACGCUGAUGGCCCAGCUUGCUGGGUUGGAUGAGUGGCGAACGGGUGAGUAACACGUGAGUAACCUGCCCCCUUCUUUGGGAUAACGGUCGGAAACGGCUGCUAAUACCGGGUAUUCACUGUCCUUCGCAUGGGGGGUGGUGGAAAGGUUUUUUCUGGUGGGGGAUGGGCUCGCGGCCUAUCAGCUUGUUGGUGGGGUGAUGGCUUACCAAGGCUUUGACGGGUAACCGGCCUGAGAGGGUGACCGGUCACAUUGGGACUGAGAUACGGCCCAGACUCCUACGGGAGGCAGCAGUGGGGAAUAUUGCACAAUGGGCGAAAGCCUGAUGCAGCGACGCCGCGUGAGGGAUGGAGGCCUUCGGGUUGUAAACCUCUUUCGCUCAUGGUCAAGCCGCAACUUGGGUUGUGGUGAGGGUAGUGGGUAAAGAAGCACCGGCUAACUACGUGCCAGCAGCCGCGGUAAUACGUAGGGUGCGAGCGUUGUCCGGAAUUAUUGGGCGUAAAGGGCUUGUAGGCGGUUUGUCGCGUCUGCCGUGAAAUCCUCUGGCUUAACUGGGGGCGUGCGGUGGGUACGGGCAGGCUUGAGUGCGGUAGGGGAGACUGGAACUCCUGGUGUAGCGGUGGAAUGCGCAGAUAUCAGGAAGAACACCGGUGGCGAAGGCGGGUCUCUGGGCCGUUACUGACGCUGAGGAGCGAAAGCGUGGGGAGCGAACAGG